rnacentral:RNase_P_RNA from 29 species
GAGGAAAGUCCGGGCUCCAUAGGGCAGGGUGCCAGGUAACGCCUGGGGGGGAAACCCACGACCAGUGCAACAGAGAGCAAACCGCCGAUGGCCCGCGUAAGCGGGAUCAGGUAAGGGUGAAAGGGUGCGGUAAGAGCGCACCGCGCGGCUGGUAACAGUCCGUGGCACGGUAAACUCCACCCGGAGCAAGGCCAAAUAGGGGUUCAUAAGGUACGGCCCGUACUGAACCCGGGUAGGCUGCUUGAGCCAGUGAGCGAUUGCUGGCCUAGAUGAAUGACUGUCCACGACAGAACCCGGCUUA